CCCGAGUCGAGUCCUAAUUCCAAAAUCAGUCACUCUCACUCCACGCUGUCCGUCCUUCGAAUCCAACUCUUAAUCGUCUUCUCCUCCGUCGUCGUGACCAACACAACGGCACCACCCAUCCUCCUCGACGACAUCCCACUGGCUCGAUUCUCUCCUCUUCAACAACAUCACUGCUGGCUCGAUUCUCUCCUCUUUAACAACCUUCACUCAUGUUUUCUUGCCCAUUCGCAACCUGUAUAAUCCAUACCUUCCUUCGACCCAAAAUCUAAUUCUCUGAUCUCACAUCGCCGCCGCAAAUCCAUUGCCCGCCCACCCGCCAUGAGCACUCCAUCACUCUUAAGGAGCGCAGGUGUGUUCUCUGGAUUCACACGGCUAUGCAAGGGCUUGUCGGUGGUGCUCAUUGGAUGCCACAUUGUAGUUCAGCUUCUCCCUCAUGCUUGUCGGUGGUAUUUUUCUCUUGGUUUGGGCACCUUCAUUGUCCAAAUUUUGGUUUGUUGACUUGUGAAUUGAAAAUUUACUAAAAUGUAUUGCAAAAUAUUGCAUAAAUAUGUGUUUAUAGUAAUGGGUUUUAUGAAAAAUAUGUGAAAUUUAGUGUUUUGAA